UAUCANUAAGCGGAGGAAAAGAAACCAACAGGGAUUGCCCCAGUAACGGCGAGUGAAGCGGCAACAGCUCAAAUUUGAAAUCUGGCGUCUUCGGGCGUCCGAGUUGUAAUUUGCAGAGGAUGCUUUUGGCGACGCGCCUUCCGAGUUCCCUGGAACGGGACGCCGCAGAGGGUGAGAGCCCCGUACGGUGUGGCGCCGAGCCCCUGUAAAGCUCCUUCUACGAGUCGAGUAGUUUGGGAAUCCUGCUCUAAAUGGGAGGUAAACUCCUUCUAAAGCUAAAUAUAGGCCAGAGACCGAUAGCGCACAAGUAGAGUGAUCGAAAGAUGAAAAGCACUUUGAAAAGAGAGUUAAACAGCACGUGAAAUUGUUGAAAGGGAAGCGCUUAUGACCAGACUUGGGCCCGGUGGUUCAGCCGUCCCUCGCGGGCGGUGCACUCCGCCGGCCCAGGCCAGCAUCAGUUGCCGGUUGGGGAGAAAGGCAGCGGGAAUGUGGCUCUUCGGAGUGUUAUAGCCCGCCGUCAUGCCCUCCCGGCGACUGAGGUUAGCGUUCUUCACGGAUGCUGGCGUAAUGGUUAUUAGCGACCCGUCUUGAAACACGGACCAAGGAGUCGUCCUGCUAUGCGAGUGUUUGGGUGUCAAACCCCUACGCGAAAUGAAAGUAAACGGAGGUGAGAGCUUUAAACGGCGCAUCAUCGACCGAUCCUGAUGUUUACGGAUGGAUUUGAGUACGAGCAUAGCGGGCCGGACCCGAAAGAAGGUGAACUAUGCUUGGAUAGGGCAAAGCCAGAGGAAACUCUGGUGGAGGCUCGCAGCGGUUCUGACGUGCAAAUCGAUCGUCAAAUCUGAGCAUGGGGGCGAAAGACUAAUCGAACCUUCUAGUAGCUGGUU
rnacentral:rRNA from 1 species